AGGAAAAUGAAAAUAUGGACAAAGACCGAAAAGUUGUGUGAGGAGCUUGCGAAGGUCCAAGAGAGCUAUGGGGAGCAGGCCUUCAGCCCUGCGUAUCCAUUGAUGAUUCUGCUCCAGUUGGAGGACUGGAUUUCUGACUCUCUGGAUUUGAUCGAAAACAUGCCAGCUGAGAGGCUCUACAAAAUACAAAAGCGGAUUUGCAAACAUCAUGAAAUCAGGGAGCAGGAACAGAAACGCAUUAGGCGUGAAACUUUAUUAGAAGAACGGAGGCAGAGAAGACAGGAGAGAGCACUUUCUCAUUCGGUGAAACUGGUGAGUGGCACACAGAACCAGCAAUACAUAUCCAAUACUUUUAUCUUGCUUAUCAAAUAUUGUAAUGUGGAUCAAUAGUGUGGUGCUGAGUUAUCACGUCUUUACUGCAGCCGGAAAAAAGCUGAUGCCACGUAGCCGGCCUCCGAAGAAGAUAAGAAAGAAAGAGGAACCAGUGGAAACCAAGAAGACGAAGGAGGAUCUAUACGCUCACUUUGUGGACUAAUUCGCCUCUGAGCUCCUCCACGGCCUUCUCCAGUGCCUGUCUUCCUCCACUGAGAAGAAAUACCUCCAGUACCCACUGUGCAAACAAAAAAACAAAUAAUCCUUAGACAACAUAGAUAUUAGGAAGAUAUUAGUAGAUAAUUGACAUGUGUCUUAUGCCUUCCUGUUGUGGAUCACCUUGUGCGGAUAAUAUUAAAGAAUUUUACUCUCAUCUUCAUCUUCAUGCAAGUUCAUUCUACACAGAACCAUGAGACUU
rnacentral:lncRNA from 1 species